AUGGGGUAUGAAUGGCAAAUAGGUGAUGGUAGAUUGGUUAGAUUAUGGGAAGAUACCUGGUAUGGUAACACUCCCCUAGCCACAUAGUACUGGGACCUAUAUGUUUUGGUUAAUGAAAAGAAUAAAACCAUUGCAGAUCUCUAGGAUGGACAGGAGCUCAAAUGCACCUUUAGAAGGACCUUCUCGGAUGAACUGAUCUUACAACGAUUUGAAUUGAUUGAAAUACUUUCCCUGACUGACUUUACUCAGGGGACAGACUCUUUGAUUUGGAAGAGUAUGAGUCUAAAGGAGUUUAUUCUUCUAAGUCUCUAUAUGCUAUUGUUAAUUUCAGCGGGGGUGUAG
rnacentral:rRNA from 1 species